rnacentral:lncRNA from 1 species
AAGGAGCGACCACAGGGGAGCUGUGGUUCCCAGGCCUCAGAGGUGAAAGAGACAGUGCCUUGCAAAUGCAGCAUCCCGUGAGUGCAGGGGAGUUUCUGCGCUCUGGGUGGAGCAGAACAGGAAAGUUCAUAAAUUCAGCACGUCAGAGCAGCCUGUCUCCCCUAUUUACUCUGCGAGUCCUUGACAUCGCGAGCGCUCGCUACUUUACUUUGUCUUAAUGCUGACGUGUAAACCUCUGAACAGUGACUUUCCAGCCACUAGCCUACAGGCUGUAAGGUACUUCUGCGCCUAUUUUUAGCCUCUUUUCCUGGAAGAAAAAAGAAAAUAACAAUGUCUCGUUCCGAGGAUCCUUCUCCUGCAUGCCCAGGAUCCAGGAGGCAACAGUAACAUCCCUAAGGAGCCAGUCUCAGAAGCAGGUGCGGGGCGCCCUCUCUCUGUUAUCAGAGAGGGUGCUGGAAAGCAGCUGGGCCUCAGCAGGGCACGCAGCGGGGCACUGGGCAGGAUCGCUCAGAGGAAUUCACUAAGAUACAGGCAAGCUACUGAGGCAAACGCAGAUGUUCGCCAAGCAUCUGGACCUUCUAAAAAUGAAGUGCCAUCUCCCCAGCAGCAAAGCAGACCGAAGUUAAUGAUGAUUAACAAUGGGAAAGGUUUGGCCAACUUGUUUUCAGAAAGACACGUCCUGUGACAAGUGUGCAGAUGACACCUAUGGCUCUGAUUUCGACGAAAACUGGCCCCAUCUUCCUGGAGACUAUUAGCCCGUAUCCUACCGGAUAGUGUGCACCUAAAGUUCUCAAGAGCUCCCCUCACCCUUGGAAGCACCAAUAUACAGAGGGCUGGAUAUCCCAGAGAAAUAAACCCAGAUGAAAGUCU